CCCUGGCUCAGGAUGAACGCAGGCGGCGUGCUUAACACAUGCAAGUCGAACGAUGACCCGGUGCUUGCACCGGUGAUUAGUGGCGAACGGGUGAGUAACACGUGAGUAACCUGCCCUUAACUCUGGGAUAAGCCUGGGAAACUGGGUCUAAUACCGGAUAUGACUCCUCAUCGCAUGGUGGGGGGUGGAAAGCUUUAUUGUGGUUUUGGAUGGACUCGCGGCCUAUCAGCUUGUUGGUGAGGUAAUGGCUCACCAAGGCGACGACGGGUAGCCGGCCUGAGAGGGUGACCGGCCACACUGGGACUGAGACACGGCCCAGACUCCUACGGGAGGCAGCAGUGGGGAAUAUUGCACAAUGGGCGCAAGCCUGAUGCAGCGACGCCGCGUGAGGGAUGACGGCCUUCGGGUUGUAAACCUCUUUCAGUAGGGAAGAAGCGAAAGUGACCGGUACCUGCAGAAGAAGCGCCGGCUAACUA
rnacentral:rRNA from 1 species